GUGGUCGGUAUCUAUCAACAAAGACCAGUUGCCACUUAGUGUGGAGGAAACCCAGAGCACUCAAAAAGAAAUGCUUCUCAGAGGGAGUAAAAGGAGAAGAGAUGAGCAGAAAGACCAGUCCAGGCUGGAAGGUGCUGACAGCAAAGCGGAGGAGUUUAUGUCUCAGUUGCUUCACAGCCCCCAUCUGAUCUAUUAAAGCUCCCACGACCAUGGGACAGGACAAACUCUGCUGAUACGUUGAUGCAUGAACGUCUGCAUCAGUGCUGAUUAUUCUCCCAGCGACUGGGGAGCAGCUGUGAUGUGCCAGCACACUGUGAAUUUCCAAGAGAGUGUGGAGAGCCCUUCCUCCUGCUGAGAGCCUCUGUAAAAAUAACCUGACCUGCAGGGAUUUACCCAGCAGGCCUUGGGGAAAUGAGCAGAGUCGCCAAUUAUUGCCGUGAGGAUGUCAAGUCUGUGAUUGUACAUCGGCGUAGUUGCUAUUGCUGCAAUCAAGGCAAGACAGAAGGAAAAUUAGGAGGAAAAAACCCUUUCCAUCUACUUCAGCCUCACUGCCCACAUUAGAAAAACAAAAACAAACCAACAAAACCCAGUUAAAGUUAUCCUGGCAUUCUCACAUAACUUAAAUGCUGAUAYUUCUUUCAAAGGUUUGAUCCUUGUGUAGAGUGGAAGAAACAAAAAUAUUCUACUGUUUCUACAGCUCAAGUUGUCUCAUUCUACUUUCCAUACACCUUUAUAAGAGCUAAAAUUGAUUUUAUAUGUGUGGUGUAUUAGAGGAGUAUUUAAUAUGCAGUAUUGCACAAAGAUAUAAACUCUUUUCUGUGAACUUUAAUAAUACUCUUCACAUUAAUAUUUUCAUAUGCAUGCACUGGUAAUUCAUCUGUCUGAUGCAGAGUACAGAACUUGUGCAAUAUCAACAUGAUUGAAUGCUGCCUUUACCAGUAAAUGCAGAGAUUAGGAAGUUACUGGAAAGAAGUCAUGGAAAGUUUAGAGACUGACUUCCAACAGGCUUUGGAAAUGGAAGUUUUUAAUAGGUCAUUCUGUGUUUAAAAGGAAACACUUUUGCACAAAUUUUUGUGCAGGCACAGAUGCUUAAGGAUGUGCCCUGGGUUGUCUGAGAAAUGUCUGCCUGUCUAYGUAGCGAAGAAAGGUAUUUUAUGAGUGCUUGGAGUUCUAAGAUUUAAAAAAUAUUUUUCACAACCCCUGAUACAGACUACAGUACAAUGCAUAAAUAAAACAGCUCUAGUUUAGAGUGCUCACCAAUGUUUAGUUUUCAUUUCUCUGGAGGAUUUUUCAUGAAUGUCUGUGGGUCUACAAUUCUUGAAACUGUUGCCUACUGGCAUGUUAUCAUUUAUUUAUCUUAAAUCAAAUGUGCCAAAUGAAGACCCAGUGGCAUUGCAGCUGCCUACUGAGCAAAAAUGAGGAAUUAUUAGGGAAAGAAUAGAAAAUAAACAAAUUUUAUAUCUCUGUAUAAAUACAUUUUUCAUCAACACUGUUAGUGCCUUGUACUUUUCUGGUGUCACUCCCAUCUCUGAAGGUGUAUGCUGGAAUUUAAAAACUUUAAAGAAAGGAAAUAAAGACGAUUAAAUUUCUUGUGCAUAUGAAAUUGCUAAGUGUUCAGGGAUUUUUUGUUGUAAAGGAGACAAGUUAGAGGGAGAAUUUAAAUAUAUUUAUAUUUAGUAUAUAAGUUUUUAA